UCUGUGGGACGAGAGCAAGUGAAUAA
rnacentral:piRNA from 1 species